GGGAGCAGCAGAGCCAAAGGAAAGGAAACCUAGGUUAAGACGUCAGUAGGGUGUUUCAUCAUAGUGACAGAACAAAUAGGAAACACACCUGUAUUAUUUUUAGUCUCUGAUGAUGAUGAAUGGCACCACUAUGAGCUCUCAUCUAUAAGCUCCCGUGUGAAGACUCAGCUAUACUGGACCAGGUUGCUAAUAAAGGGACUUCUAGGUCAUAUGGAAA